CAAACUCAAGUUUUCCAGAAGUCUGUUGAGUGAGAUCAUCAGAUUCCCCUGUCUUCUGUGUAAAAUCCUCUAAUUGUUGAUCGGCACCCUGUGGUUUCCAAGGUAGAUAAGAUUGUUGCGAAUCCUGACCAAACUCAAGUUUUCCAGAAGUUUGUUGAGUGAGAUCAUCAGAUUCCCCUGUCUUCUGUGUAAAAUCCUCUAA